GACGAACGCUGGCGGCGUGCUUAACACAUGCAAGUCGAACGGAAAGGCCCUGCUUUUGUUGGUUGCUCGAGUGGCGAACGCGUGAGUAACACGUGAGUAACCUGCCCUUGACUUUGUGAUAACUUUAGGAAACUGGGGCUAAUACCGGAUAGGAGCUCCUGCUGCAUGUUGGGGGUUGGAAAGUUUCGGCGGUUGGGGAUGGACUCGCGGCUUAUCAGCUUGUUGGUGGGGUAGUGGCUUAACAAGGCUUUGACGGGUAGCCGGCCUGAGAGGGUGACCGGCCACAUUGGGACUGAGAUACGGCCCAGACUCCUACGGGAGGCAGCAGUGGGGAAUAUUGCACAAUGGGCGGAAGCCUGAUGCAGCAACGCCGCGUGCGGGAUGACGGCCUUCGGGUUGUAAACCGCCUUCGCCUGUGACGAAGCGUGAGUGACGGUAAUGGGUAAAGAAGCACCGGCUAACUACGUG
rnacentral:rRNA from 1 species